UUUUUUUUUUUUUUUUUUUUUUUUUUUGGUUGUGGAAGGGAUAGCUUCAAAAACCCUUCAUUGAACUUUUUUGACAAAUUUGUUUGGCAUCCUGGAGAUUUCAAAUAUUACACCUACAACCCCUAUUUUGACUUUUAAUGCAACAAUGACAACCCAUGUCCAUGAACAGCUAGAAAUUGGCAACUCCUUGUUGGAAAUUAAUUUGAAAGCUUCAGCCCACAUUAGCAGGUCAGUAACUGGUACAAGGCUUUCGUAGUUUUUUUUUUUAAGGGAUAGCUUCAAAAACCUUCUCUAAGAUUUUUGACAAGUUCAUAUUGCUUCCCUUGAAAUUUCAAAUAUAAUACCUACAACCCUAUUUUGACUUUUAAUGUAACAACGUCAACCCAUGUCCAUAAACAAUUCAUAUAAAAUGCUAAAAAGUACCUUCAUUCCCAACCAAAAAAAAAAAAAAGGCAAUUCAUUAAAUGGUGCCUUCAUUUCUAGGGCGUAUAAAGAAGAAUACAACAAAUUCAACCAAACAAUGACAAUUCGUUAAAAAAUGAGCAAAUUUUAUAUUGAAAAAUUACUCAUGGCAUGGUAUAGCGAGUUAGAUACAUUUGAACUAAACCAUUAGAAGGAAUUAAAAUCUAAAUAUUGAUGCCUGAAAAUACUUUAUUUUUCCGAACCAUCAAACCUAUCCCUCUCCCCAAUGCUUGAAAAUACUUAGUAUAACAAGAAUUUGAAAUCACAAAUUCAACAUUUUUUUUAAAAAGGCUUGAAAUUGUAAAAGAAAGAAAAAGAAAUGGGCGCAUUCCCUAUUAGUAAUAACAAAGUCGACCAAACUGCCACACUUUUUUUGGCAAGUCACAUUAUCAAAUUCAAUAGCAUUUAAAAAAAAAAAAGAUAUCUUAAUUUGACGAACAAAAUUUGAUAUUUUUCUCAAGUAUUUCUUUGUGUGAAAUUUUAUUUAUUUAAUUCUCUCAAUGACCUUUUUAAAAUUUUCCUUUUUUUUUUAAUUACUUUGUUAUGAUGUUAGCCUAUAAUAAUUUGUAAGAUCAGAUCAUUUUCUUUUUAUUGCAUUUUUAUAGUUCUUCUUUUUUCAGUUUAAUCUGUUAUGUUAGUAUGCUUGGAUGUUUAAGAAAGAAAAUGCUUUUCAGCCUUUCAUAUCAUUCAGAUAUAUCAGCUGACUUUGUUACAUAUAAAAUUCAAGAUAAUGUAGGUAAGUGUAAUAUUUAAAACUAUUGGGGAGUCAAGUAAACUUGUUGGAAACCUCGAAGGAGAUCUCUGAAAUUAUCCUCUCUUUUUUUUUUUGGCACACCAAAACUUAAGAUCCACAAUGACGGGCAAAGAAAAUCGUAGCAUACAGGUCCGUGAAUUGAAUGGUGGAAAACCCAACCAAGAGGCCCAAGACGCCAAGUCUGAUCUCAUCCUUCUCACUAGAAACACUCAGGACUUAAUCAACAGAAAAUUAUGCUCUCAUUGGGACGGUUAGUAGGAUCGAGCCUUAAGUUUAACUGGAUCAUAUACAAUUUAGAACUUGGACUUACAUAUACAUUUGGAUUUAAUUUAAUUGUGGGUCAAGUCUAAGCUUUACGAUAAAGUACAGCCUGAAUAAUUUAAUAUAUAAACAUGUGUUAUAUGUAUAAUAAUGUAAACAGUAUAUAAUUAUCCAUAUUAUUAGUAUACAAAAAAUUUGAUAAAUUUUUUUUUUGUUUUUAAAAAAGGAUCUAUAGUGGUUGCUCAAUUAUCUCCUCAAAGACUCUGCUUGUGACCUCUCAAUUACAUAUAAAAUCUCUUAUUAAUUAGAUUGCGCUUCAUUGUCACAAAAAACAAUUAAUAGCUUAUAUAUUAUUAUAUAUAUUUGUGACCUCUCAAUUACAGGUAAAAUCUCUUAUUAAUUAGAUUGCGCUUCAUUGUCACAAAAAAAAAUUAAUAGCUUAUAUAUAUAUAUAACUAUGGGCAUGUUUGGAACCUGAGUUUUUUUAGGAGUUUGUCUAAAACUUUACUGUAGUGCACUGUAGAAAUUUUUUAAAAAAUUUUGUAAAAAUUUUUGUAAGGUGAAAAAUUUUGUAGAAGUUUUUGUAAGGUGAAAAACUUUUUUUUUUCUUUUUUUUCUCUUUCCCUUUCUUUUUCUUUUUCUUUCUUUCCUCUCUUUUUUUUCUUCUUCUUCUUCUUUUUCCCCGUUACCUCCGCUACCCCCAGCUGCAACUCCACCUCCCGCCGCCCUGCCUUCCCCCUCCCCCAGCCGCCUCUCUUUCCCCCGUCUUUCCCCUUUCCCCGCCGCCUCUCUCUCCCCCCCCUCCCCCUCCCCCGCAGCCCCCUCUGCUCCUUCCCUCUCUCCCCCGCCGUCCCCCUCCCCGCCUUCCCCCUCCCCCUCCUCCCGCCACCUCUCUCUCUCCCGCCUUCCCCCUCUUCCCGCCGUCCCCGUCUGCCCCUUCUCCCUCUGCCCCUCUCUGCGCCACCCCCCUAUGCGCCGGACGUAGAGAGAAAAAAAAAAGACAAGAGAGGAUGAUGGCAGGGGAGGAAGAGGGGGAGAGGGAAAAAAAGGAGGAAAAAAAAAAAGACCGACACCGGCACCGGCACCGGAAAUUGGUGAUGGAACCGGCAAUGGAGGUGGUGGUGGGAGAGGAAGAAAAAGAAAAGGGGAAGAGAAAUUUUUUUUUUUUUUGUGUUUUGGAUAUUUUAAGUGUGUAGGUUAAAAAUUUUGAUAAGUUUUUUGAGAUUUCUGUAGCAAAAAUUGUUAAAAAACUAGUUUUAUACAAACUUGGUAAAAAACCAAGCUUCCAAACCGGGCCUAUGUUUUAAUUGUGUACUUGAAAGGAGCCCGACCUAAACCCAAAACUCCAAGAUAUAUAUGUGAGUCGCGCAGCACAAGUUGUACUUGACUUGCCAGUGUGACAUGGGAGUAUGGGACCUCACUGACCGCCUCUUUUCAGUGUACGUAACCCAUGUCAAGGAAAUUAAUGUCUUGGGAUGCAGGUUUCCAACGGAAAAUGUUGGUCCAAUUUUCAAACCAAAUUUAACAAUACUCUGUCUGGCUUUUUUUUAAUCCUUUUUAGGCCCCCCUGGAAGCAAGCAGCAACUAAUUGGUCCAUGACAAGAAUAAACACGCACAUGAUGAGAGCGGUCUAGUAGGUGACUAUUUUUUGGGCCAUGGAUGAAAAGACACCAUCCCACACUCAAGCGGGAAUGAAGAGAAGAGGACGGGCGGGCAUUUUUUCAGAAACCAAAUUGUCGCCGAAACAAAAGAAAAAAAAGAAGAAGAAGAGAAUCCAAUCCCACCCCAAAGCCUCCGGAUUUGGUCCCCCCAACCCCUCUUCAAGAGUCAAGACUCUUGGAACUAUGAAUAUAACCGCACACUGGAUAAAGAGCCGGAGGCGGAGAGAACAGAAACGUACAAUAAACUCGGAUUCGAAAUGUAAUGUGUCCUAAUUAAUUAAUUAAUUUGGAUUGGGAUGUGACUCGAACUCGAAUUCGCUCGCUCAAGAGUUGGUGUUGUGCUCAGCGUUCACCUGAGGCUGCAGAAUGUUGGGGGAUUCCACUUCCAUUCCACCUGAUGUGACGGCACCACAAACAAUGGAUAUCGUAGGAAAAUGCCACACAAUUCCACCUGGGUACAAUUAAAAUAUUCACACAUGUAACUUACCUUGCCCCACAACCUAACUCGUUCUCAAGCAAGCAUCCAAUUCAGGCAUUUGAACCUGACGAAGACUAACCAUUCGCAUACCAACCAACCAUCCAUCCAGCUUAAGACAAAUUCAAACAUCUUUUUUUUUUCUCUCUCUCUCUUUAAAUUAAUAAAUUAAUAAAUUAAAACUGCAUCUACUUUCCUGAUAAAAUAAAAAAAUAAAAAAAAAAAAAAACCUGCCUGGCAUCUUAAAAGUUAUUUUUCCGGUUCAGACCCGACACAACAAUCGUCUGCCAGCCUCCUUGUUUUUACCUUAUCUAUGGAUGUCAUCGGGGAAUGGAACGGAGGAGUCUUUUGGGCAUGCAAUCAAUUAUCAGCUGUAAGGACUGCUGAGAACUAGCAGCAUCUGCUACCCUCAAAACCUUCGCGCAGUAGAUAAUCCAAGAAAUAAAAUACUACUACAGCCAAGUGAAACCCAACCUAGGCAGAAAUUUAACAUGAAGAUUAAUUUUUUGACAGCCUGAAUUCCUUGAACACGGAGAUCUUAUCAUACAGGACAAUGGGCUAUUGGUAGAAACAUCGCAAAUUCUCAGAAACUCGUCAAAAGAAUCUGCACUAAUGUAUGCUCCCAGACCUAACAAGGUUCAAAAUCCAACUUCCUUUUUUUCUUCUUUUUUUUUUUCACCAGACGCUCGCUCCCCUGUACCUCAAGCUUGAACAAGUGCGAUA
rnacentral:lncRNA from 1 species